UGUAUGGGGAUCUGCCCGAUAGAGGGGGAUGACUACUGGAAACGGUGGCUAAUACCGCAUAAUGUCUACGGACCAAAGCAGGGGCUCUUCGGACCUUGCACUAUCGGAUGAACCCAUAUGGGAUUAGCUAGUAGGUGGGGUAAAGGCUCACCUAGGCGACGAUCUCUAGCUGGUCUGAGAGGAUGAUCAGCCACACUGGGACUGAGACACGGCCCAG
rnacentral:rRNA from 1 species